rnacentral:rRNA from 1 species
GAAAGCAUCUAAGCAUGAAGCCCCCCUCAAGAUGAGAUUUCCCAUAGCGUAAGCUAGUAAGAUCCCUGAAAGAUGAUCAGGUUGAUAGGUUCGAGGUGGAAGCAUGGUGACAUGUGGAGCUGACGAAUACUAAUAGAUCGAGGACUUAACCAUAUAA